rnacentral:tRNA from 1 species
GCCCCCGUAGCUCAGUGGAUAGAGCUGCCGCCUUCUAAGCGGUCGGUCCCGGGUUCGAUUCCUGGCGGGGGCG